AUGUUAUCACCAUUGGAACAAGAUGCGGAUUCAUCAACUGAAAUUGUCCUUCUCACAGUAUUCAAGUUUCUGAUAACAAAGCAAAAAUUCAAGAUUGAAGGGGGAAAAAAGGCAUCCUUGGAAGGAUUCUGCUGUCACUUGAAGAAGUCUACAGGUGAAGUUCUUCUGAUGAGUGGAUUUUCAUGGAGCUUGAGUAGAAGCAAACAAUGGAGUAGUCAGUUCCCCGAAAUGUUGAAGGAGUUACUAGCUAUCAUCUUUGUCCAUUACUCUGGUGACAUCUCCCAGACCUUUUUCGGAGGAAGUGUUUCAUUGGAUGCGGGGGUGGGGGCGUUGGGGGUCUCUUAGUACUUAAGUUCCACACAGGAUAGAAGACAGUCUCCUCCUGGCUGACUUCAGAUCAAAAUGUAGAACUCUUGGAUUCUCCAGAAUCAAGUCUGCCUGCACAGUGCCAUGCUUCCCACCAUGAAAAUAAUUCUCUGAACCACUGCAACUGUAAGCCAGCCACCAUGAAAUGUUUUCCUGUAUAAAAGUUAUCCAAGUCUUAUUGUCCCAGCAAAGAGACACUAAGUAGGUCAUGAGUACUAUAAGGAAACACGCUAUUGUAAUUUACAUAUAAAGACUUGAUGACCAACAUACUUGAAAAUAAUUGCUUGCAUUCUGAGUAAAGUGUUGUGCUCAAGCACCAUCCCUAAAUCUUCUUGCUGAUGAUAUCAGUCAUAAGGAAAGAAUAAUGGGCUAAAUGAUAUAGUAAAUGCUAUAAUAUUUCCCUAUGAUAAGUGGAAUAUCUAUAUCAUCCUGUGCCCCAAAGAUCAAGAAAUUGUUAUGGCUAGAGCAAUCUGAAGCUUUCCUGAGGCCCUAAUGUCUGAAGGGAAAAAGUGAACACCAAGAAUAUUCUUGGCACUUUCAAGAAUGGUCUGAGCCAAGAGACUUUGAGAAUGUGGCUUCUAACUUGGAGAACCAAAUGCCAUAAUGGACUGGGAAUAACUGUACCAAAAUUACUUUGUGCUUUUCUCUGAUGGUAUUGAGAUAUCCUGUGAACCCGUUUAAUUCAUUUCAUUUUCUUGACAUAUCCCAUUUUUACUUCCAGAAAAUGUUUAUAAGAUGUUAUACUUCUUAAUAAACUUGCUUGUCAAAAGUUAUAGUUUGUAUAA
rnacentral:lncRNA from 1 species